rnacentral:rRNA from 1 species
GUUCUAGCGAGCCCAACCUCCCACCCGUGUUUACUGUACCUUAGUUGCUUCGGCGGGCCCGCCAUUCAUGGCCGCCGGGGGCUCUCAGCCCCGGGCCCGCGCCCGCCGGAGACACCACGAACUCUGUCUGAUCUAGUGAAGUCUGAGUUGAUUGUAUCGCAAUCAGUUAAAACUUUCAACAAUGGAUCUCUUGGUUCCGGCAUCGAUGAAGAACGCAGCGAAAUGCGAUAACUAGUGUGAAUUGCAGAAUUCCGUGAAUCAUCGAGUCUUUGAACGCACAUUGCGCCCCCUGGUAUUCCGGGGGGCAUGCCUGUCCGAGCGUCAUUGCUGCCCAUCAAGCACGGCUUGUGUGUUGGGUCGCCAUCCCCUCUCCGGGGGGGACGGGCCCCAAAGGCAGCGGCGGCACCGCGUCCGAUCCUCGAGCGUAUGGGGCUUUGUCACCCGCUCUGUAGGCCCGGCCGGCGCUUGCCGAACACAAAUCAAUCUUUUUCCAGGUUGACCUCGGAUCAAGUAGGGAUACCCGCUGAACUUAAGCAUAUCAAUAAGCGAGAGGGAAAACCUUUACCGAGGUGUUGGGUUCCUAGGGAGCCACACCUCCAACACUGUUUUAAGUACAUUAAUUGGUUUCGGGGGGGCCGACUUAGGGGCGGGAUAAUUUUAUCCGUACCGUGGAGCC